rnacentral:rRNA from 1 species
AAAUAGUUGGCUUAACCCUUUUGGGUUUGGACUAACUUCUUAGAGGGACUUUUGGUGAGUAGCCAAAGGAAGUUCGAGGCAAUAACAGGUCUGUGAUGCCCUUAGAUGUUCUGGGCCGCACGCGCGCUACACUGAUCGGUUCAUCGAGCAUAAAACCUUGACUGACAAGUCUGGGUAAUCUUUUGAAAACCGGUCGUGCUGGGGAUAGAUCAUUGCAAUUAUUGAUCUUCAACGAGGAAUUCCUAGUAAACGCGAGUCAUCAACUCGCAUUGAUUACGUCCCUGCCCUUUGUACACACCGCCCGUCGCU